rnacentral:antisense_RNA from 1 species
GUCUAUGGCGGGCUGGGCGGAGCGCCCGCAAGGGCGGCCGGUUGCGACACCGGUAUGCCAACUUCGUUCAGUCCGUCUCCCUA